UCCAAGACCAGUGCCAACAGAAAUCGCUCGGAGUGUCCGGAGAAGUGGAACGUAGCAGCACAGAAGGAAAAGAUCCCGGAGACGGUAGUCUGUUAAAGUGUGAUAGUGAUGAAGAGGAUGAAGACGAUUUCGCUGCAUUCGACGAGGACAUUAUCCACAGUGGAAAUGGAGAUUGAGGCUCGCCCAGAAAAAACAUCAAAAAUUCAUUGUGGUUACCUCCUCGAAGCCACUGCUACCAAUCGGAUCACCAAUCCCAUCGGUGGGGCGCGAUUCUGCUGUUGCGCCAGGAGUAGGGACAGUAACAGGGACGGCAACAGUAACACAAAAGCAGGAAAACAUCGAAAUGGAAUUCGGUUUGAUGGACUUCGGGGCUAUACCGGCGGUUGAAAGUGGCGCUGAAAUUAGUGAACUAAGCGGAAAGACAACGUUGGCGAUGACUGCUGCCAAUUAUUCCAAAUCUUGAUAGCAACAGCAAAAAUAAGGGAUAGCCUACGAUCGAGACAGAAAAGAAAACUAGCAGCAGCAGCCAAUGUACUCAACAA